AUGAGGCGGCAAUGGCGGUGUCGACCCUUGCAAGGCCGCAGAUGGUUGCUUGUUCGUGACGGAGCGGUCAGCUCACAGAACAGAGCCCCCACUCCAACCACUGGAUGUCCUAGACUGCCCAGUAGCAGCACCAUCCCAUCCAUUGGCUGCGUGUGCAUUGCUCCUCACCGCAUUUCACCUGAAACGCUUGAGGAGGAGGUCGCCAAAGGAGAGGGGGCACCAGAUCCACAGAACACCACCCUCAUUGGACGUGACCGCCCCAUGCUGCAAGCCACCACCCACCCUCGUCUCCCUUCUCCUCGAUCUCCCAUUCCCUUAUGUGAUGCGCCAUCGUCGAUCUAUCCUCCCUUGCUCAAGAAUUUGGGCGCGGGCCUGGGAUGGGGCUCCCCGAGGUCCAGCGUCCCAUGGCCGGCGGCGCCGCCUCACCAGGCACGGCCUGCGCCUUCACCCUGUCUCGGGACUCCUCCCUCUUCCCAACAGCUCGAGCCAACAGCGACGGGCCGGUCGGGUUCGCCCACGAAGCGUGUGGCCACGAUGGCCUGCACGCGAGCGAUGGGAAGGCGGGGAGGAGGAAGAGGCGAGGCGGUGGAGGAGUAG
rnacentral:rRNA from 1 species